CGUCGAGGACGACUUCGAUUCACCCCACAUGAUCCGCAGGGACGGCCCUG
rnacentral:ncRNA from 1 species